rnacentral:rRNA from 1 species
UAAGGAAUAUUGGUCAAUGGGCGGAAGCCUGAACCAGCCAUGCCGCGUGCAGGAUGACUGCCCUAUGGGUUGUAAACUGCUUUUGUCCAGGAAUAAACCUAGAUACGUGUAUCUAGCUGAAUGUACUGGAAGAAUAAGGAUCGGCUAACUCCGUGCCAGCAGCCGCGGUAAUACGGAGGAUCCGAGCGUUAUCCGGAUUUAUUGGGUUUAAAGGGUGCGUAGGCGGCCUAUUAAGUCAGGGGUGAAAUACGGUGGCUCAACCAUCGCAGUGCCUUUGAUACUGAUGGGCUUGAAUCCAUUUGAAGUGGGCGGAAUAAGACAAGUAGCGGUGAAAUGCAUAGAUAUGUCUUAGAACUCCGAUUGCGAAGGCAGCUCACUAAGCUGGUAUUGACGCUGAUGCACGAAAGCGUGGGGAUCGAACAGGAUUAGAUACCCUGGUAGUCCACGCCCUAAACGAUGAUAACUCGAUGUUGGCGAUAGACAGCCAGCGUCCAAGCGAAAGCGUUAAGUUAUCCACCUGGGGAGUACGGCCGCAAGGUUAAAACUUAAAUGAAUUGACGGGGUCAUAGCUGUUUCCU